rnacentral:antisense_RNA from 1 species
AUACUGAAGGGUUGGUAGGGGACCAGAGAAUAGAGGAAGCAUUGUAGGUUCUAGAGUGGAGAAGGGACCAUCCAAAAUGGAGUUUGAAAGAGAAUUCUGGCCUUUGUGUUUAGAGUCUGGAAUUGUCAAGAGUCUGAAAGCACAGAAUAAGACUGCAGCUAGAGCAAUUUAGGCGCCAUAGUUUGUCAAAACAGAGUGGGAGGCAUAACUGCUUUGCCUCCAGUCAUCAUCUGGGGGCAUAUCUACUCUUCGAGGACCAGGGGUUCGGGACCCUGGAAAAGGAUCUGAAUUCCAAGCUGACCUCAGGGGUACAUGAAGACUGCUAGAUGAGACGGGAUCUCACUGUGUUGCUCAGGCUGGUCUCGAACUGCUGGACUCAAGUCAUCCUCCCAUCUUGGCCUCCCAAAGUGCUGGAAUUACAGUGGACAACCUUCAAUGCACUGGUACUUUGUACCCUGACCUCUACUGUGAUGAACACUCAACUUGGGCAAGAAAGUGAAAUUCUCCAAAGUGCAGUGGGUUCUGACCCAAUCAGCAGCCUUUGCUUCUCAGAUUCCUCUCAAGGCUUUAUGACUCUUCUCACCCCAGGAAACCCUACAACACGCACGGCCUUUCAGAACUGCUACAUGGAAUGGACAUUCCUCUGGGCGCCAGCUGAAUGUUUGUAAAUAAAAUAAUGACUGCGUGUCCU